GAUGAACGCUGGCGGCGUGCCUAAUACAUGCAAGUCGAGCGAACGGACGAUAAGCUUGCUUCUCUGAUGUUAGCGGCGGACGGGUGAGUAACACGUGGAUAACCUACCUAUAAGACUGGGAUAACUUCGGGAAACCGGAGCUAAUACCGGAUAAUAUUUUGAACCGCAUGGUUCAAGAGUGAAAGACGGUCUUGCUGUCACUUAUAGAUGGAUCCGCGCUGCAUUAGCUAGUUGGUAAGGUAACGGCUUACCAAGGCAACGAUGCAUAGCCGACCUGAGAGGGUGAUCGGCCACACUGGAACUGAGACACGGUCCAGACUCCUACGGGAGGCAGCAGUAGGGAAUCUUCCGCAAUGGGCGAAAGCCUGACGGAGCAACGCCGCGUGAGUGAUGAAGGUCUUCGGAUCGUAAAACUCUGUUAUUAGGGAAGAAAAUAUGUGUAAGUAACUGUGCACAUCUUGACGGUACCUAAUCAGAAAGCCACGGCUAACUACGUG
rnacentral:rRNA from 1 species